rnacentral:tRNA from 1 species
GUGGAUGUAACUCAAUGGUAGAGUGCCUGCUUAGCAUGUAUGAAGCCCUGGGUUCAAUCCCCAGCAUAGAAA